UACGGAGGGAGCUAGCGUUGUUCGGAAUUACUGGGCGUAAAGGGCGCGUAGGCGGCACUGUUAGUCAGGCGUGAAAUUCCUGGGCUCAACCUGGGGACUGCGCUUGAUACGGCAGAGCUAGAGGAUGGAAGAGGCUCGCGGAAUUCCCAGUGUAGAGGUGAAAUUCGUAGAUAUUGGGAAGAACACCGGUGGCGAAGGCGGCGAGCUGGUCCAUUACUGACGCUGAGGCGCGACAGCGUGGGGAGCAAACAGG
rnacentral:rRNA from 1 species